UUGGAAGGCCCUAAACAGUUUGGUACGUUAGCUGAGUAUACUGCUGUGGAAGAGAAGUUAUUGGCAUUGAAACCCAAGAAUCUGGAUUUUGUACAGGCUGCUGCACUUCCUCUUGCCAUAGAGACAGCAUAUGAGGGUCUCGAAAGGACUGGUUUUUCUGCUGGUAAAUCUAUUCUUGUUUUGAAUGGUUCUGGUGGUGUUGGAAGCCUAGUGAUUCAGGUAUGCAAUCUUGAAUUCAAUUUUCCUUUUCUAAUACCAUGAGUUGACUCAUGACUGACAGUUAUUGUGAAAGAUAAAUGCUUGUGUUUGCUUCUUAUCUAAUAGCAAGUUGUUUGAAGAAAGACCUUUACUUUUCAGUUUCAGCAACUAUGAAAGUGUAAAUCCAUUGUAUGUUCCACCAUCCAUAGAUGGGUUUGAUUGUUGUCAGAAUUUUACAAGCUUCGUAUCAAUCAUAUAGUUGUUUAUUUCCUGUUUAUGUUUGUUGUGACUUCUUUAAUUAUCUAUAGCUUCUGAUUGUCUCUGGCUUUCCUCAGCUUGUGUUUCCUAUUGAACUUGUUUAGGUUGUCAAUUACAGCAUCCUGUGGGCUGUUAAAAUCAUGCAAUGAAUGGGCUAAUCUUCAUGGGUAGAAGAAUGAAACCAAAAGAAAAUGAAGAAUUGCAUUAAACUGAGUUCACUAGAAUUGGGAACAGGAUUUGUGCCAACAACGUCAAAUUCUUGGAACAUGAAUAUGCUUUUGUAAUGAUUAGUCUAGAAAGAAACAUGUAUCCUAUACUUGCACAUAUAUGUGUAUAAAAUCUUGAUCUGCUUGGUGCAGCUCGCAAAACAUGUGUUUGGUGCUUCUAAAGUUGCAGCUACUUCAAGCACUAGAAAUUUGGAGAAGUUAAAGAGCUUGGGUGCUGAUUUAGCUAUUGACUACACUAAGGAAAACUUUGAAGAUUUGCCAGAAAAGUUUGAUGUGGUAUAUGAUGCUAUUGGUAAGCUUUUGUACUAACUGCUAUACUGGUUUUGGGAAGCUAUUAGCAUUGAUCUUUGUCCAUCACUUUGAAAGUAGCCAAAAUAAGUAAUUCAUAUUAAAUUUUGGCAAAGUUUUGGUUUGCAUUCAAUUUGAUGAAACAAUGUCUUUAUUUUUAUUUAUUCAAAUGUUGAUGACAGGGCAAUGUGAUAGGGCAGUGAAGGCUGUGAAAGAAGGGGGCAGUGUAGUGGCCUUAACUGGUGCAGUCACACCCCCUGGUUUUAGAUUUGUGUUGACUUCCAAUGGAGAAGUUCUUAAGAAACUAAACCCAUAUUUGGAGAGUGGAAAGAUAAAGCCAGUAAUUGAUCCAAAAGGGCCAUUCCCAUUUUCCAAGGUUGCUGAAGCUUUCUCAUACAUUGAAACUAACCGAGCUACUGGCAAGGUUGUUAUACAUCCAAUUCCAUGAUGAAGUAGAAAAUGGGGCCAUUUUGUAAUGCACUAUAUAUAUAUAAUUCGAGUUACAGACUUUGAAUGCUCAAUUCCAAUGUCAGAUGGAUUGGUGGUUUCUACUUUCUACCUUAGAAAUAUGCAGGGUAAGUGCUGAUUCCUUCGGUGACUUGCCUUUCUUGGCAAGGGGGAAGUGCCAUUAGGCCGAAGAGCUCGUCAGAUGGGCUGGGCAUAAAAAGUUCUGUCUCGUCCUACCAAGAUAAAUGGAAAGAAGAUAUUUGAUAGCUAGGUUUCAAAUUAUUGUGUAUUGCUGCUAAUUUUAGUACUUGCAUUGCUCUCAAGAUUAAAAAAAAGAAAAAUAUCUAAUGAAACUAAAAUAAAUUUAUUGUGCUAAGCCCAAAAAUAAAUGCAUUAGAGAUGGAUGGAUAG
rnacentral:misc_RNA from 1 species